GCCGGGAUGGCGGAAUUGGUAGACGCACCAGACUCAAAAUCUGGCGAUGGCAACAUCGUGGGGGUUCGAUUCCCCCUCCCGGCACCA
rnacentral:tRNA from 1 species